UGGGGAAUAUUGCACAAUGGAGGGAACUCUGAUGCAGCGACGCCGCGUGAGUGAUGAAGGAAUUCGUUUCGUAAAACUCUGUUCUAUGGGAAGAAAAGGACUGUACCAUAGGAGAAAGCUCCGGCUAAAUACGUGCCAGCAGCCGCGGUAAUACGUAUGGAGCGAGCGUUGUCCGGAAUUAUUGGGCGUAAAGGGUGCGCAGGCGGCUUUACAAGUUGGAUGUGAAAUAUUGUGGCUCAACCACAAACGUGCAUCCAAAACUGCAAAGCUUGAGUUAAGGAGAGGUAAGUGGAAUUCCUGGUGUAGCGGUGGAAUGCGUCGAUAUCAGGAGGAAUACCGGUGGCGAAGGCGACUUACUGGACUUAAACUGACGCUCAGGCACGAAAGCGUGGGGAGCAAACAGG
rnacentral:rRNA from 1 species